AUGACCGUCUCCGAUAUUUAGAAAAUUGAUUUGUUUUACCAGUUACUUGUUAUUGUAAAAAACUGUAACGAGUAUGUGGUAUAAAUAGUGGGGAAUAAGAGCAAAUAUUUAUAUCAGUUGAGGAGCUACACGAUGAGGUUCAUCCAGUGCGCGUUCCUGUUCAUUCUCGCUAUGUUAGUGGUUGUCAUUACGGCAUGGCCACAACCACAGGAGCCGGAUUGCGAGACGGAUAGCGACUGCCUACCUAUGUUUGAAUGUGACACCGACUGGGAUAAAUGUAAACCCUUUUAGUGUAGCAGGAGAAAAUGCGGGUUGGGGCUUGAAGAAAGUUAUUAGCUCCACCCCUGGCUUCUUUGGAAACUUAUUUAAAUUUUUGUAUUCACAUAUUUAAAUAAAUGAACACCUUCAAAUAAC